UGGGGUGUCCUAUAGCGGCAAUUAGACCAGACUGUAAAUCUGACGGCUUCGGCCUUCGUAGGUUCGAGUCCUACCGCCCCAACCA
rnacentral:tRNA from 1 species